rnacentral:rRNA from 1 species
UACGUAGGGGGCGAGCGUUGUCCGGAAUGACUGGGCGUAAAGGGCGCGUAGGCGGCUUUUUAAGUUUGGAGUGAAAGUCCUGCUUUCAAGGUGGGAAUUGCUUUGAAAACUGAGGAGCUUGAGUGCGGAAGAGGUAAGUGGAAUUCCCAGUGUAGCGGUGAAAUGCGUAGAGAUUGGGAGGAACACCAGUGGCGAAGGCGACUUACUGGGCCGUAACUGACGCUGAGGCGCGAAAGCGUGGGGAGCGAACAGGAUUAGAUACC